GGAGGUUUGCAACUAGCCAUAGUUCUACAUAUAAUAUAGUUCAGAUAAUUUGAAAUACCAAGAUACUAAACAACGCGACUGAAGGGUCAACAGCCACCAACCACACCGCCGGCAUCCAGCGUCAUACCUUCACCCUAGCCAGCGAACGCAAGCUCGGACGCAAGAUGCGACUCAGGUUCCUCGGUAUCCUUGCCGUGAUGGUCCUGCUGCUCAGCCACGGGACAGAUGUUGAGGCCCGCAGGCGAAGUUUUUGGAGGAGGGCGAAAACGCGCGUAUUGCCGGGAUUACUGGCGGGCCUGGGGGCAGGGCUUCUCGGCUCCAGCUACAGCGGUCAAAACUCCUUUUCACCAUGGGGGAGGCCUUCGUAUGACUACGCUCCAAAUUUCUAUUAAGGGACUCCUCACUGUCUGACCUGGGGAGGGACAGAUCCAUUCUUUAAGAUGGUAAUCUCAUUGUCUGCACUACACAGACAACGCAAAAUUUUUUAUUGUGCAUUUACGUAGCAAAUAUUGUAACAGGUUUACAUGAUAUUAGGCAUAACACGAAAAUUACAGUAAAUGAAGACUUAAGUGUCCUUAUAUAGGAAGGUUGUGACAUAUAAGGCUAUUGGUGACAUAUUUUAAAAUGAGGCCCUUAAUACAUUUAUUGUGCAAAUAAAAUA
rnacentral:lncRNA from 1 species